AUGGCUCAGAUUGAACGCUGGCGGCAGGCCUAACACAUGCAAGUCGAACGGAAACAUGUCUAGCUUGCUAGAUGAUGUCGAGUGGCGGACGGGUGAGUAAUGCUUGGGAACUUGCCUUUGCGAGGGGGAUAACAGUUGGAAACGACUGCUAAUACCGCAUAAUGUCUUCGGACCAAACGGGGCUUCGGCUCCGGCGCAAAGAGAGGCCCAAGUGAGAUUAGCUAGUUGGUGAGGUAAAGGCUCACCAAGGCAACGAUCUCUAGCUGUUCUGAGAGGAAGAUCAGCCACACUGGGACUGAGACACGGCCCAGACUCCUACGGGAGGCAGCAGUGGGGAAUAUUGCACAAUGGGGGAAACCCUGAUGCAGCCAUGCCGCGUGUGUGAAGAAGGCCUUCGGGUUGUAAAGCACUUUCAGUUGUGAGGAAAAGUUAGUAGUUAAUACCUGCUAGCCGUGACGUUAACAACAGAAGAAGCACCGGCUAACUCCGUGCC
rnacentral:rRNA from 1 species